UGGUGGUGACAACGUGGCUGAUGUGCAGAGUGUCAGAGUGAAUCUGGAGGCAUUUUCCCAUGCCAUCAGUGCCAUCCAGGCGCUGUGCUCCAGCGUGAGUAGGGCGUUCUACUGCCUGAAGAAUGGCAUGUGGAACGAGGAGACAAUGGAGGGCCAGGAGAAGUCCUUCACUGCACACUUCCAGGAAAGCUUGAAUUCUAUCAACUGGGACCUCAGUGAGCCAGAACAUCUGAGCAAUUUGGUAGCAAGCCAUCUGAGAACCAUCCUCUCCAUGACAGUGGGUUGUUAAGCCUGGAUCCUGUGCAGGACAAAACCCCUCUCUAUAGUCAACUCCUUCAAGCAUAUAAGUGGUCAAACAAGUUGCAGUGCCAUGCAGGUCUAGCAUCUGGCCUUUUGAAUCAAUAGUUGCUGAAGCAUUCUGCUAAUGCCAAAUGCAGACCAAAGACUCAGCCCAUGACUCUCACCUUACUGCCUCAAUAUGAUGAUGACAUGAUCAGCUGCAUUGACAGGAUAUUUCCUGAAAUGUCCAUCUACUUAUCCAGACCCAAUGGAACAUCAGCAAUGCUUCUGGUAACCUUGGGAAAGGGUCGAAAGUGAUCAUUGUCAUGCAGAGCCUAUUCAUUGAUCCAACAAUAGUAAAGGAAGAUAAUGAAAAUGUCUACACAGAAGACUGCAAGCUUGAUAUAUGAUCCAAAUCCAACUAUGAAGUAUUCCAGAAG